GAACGCACAUUGCGCCCUGUGGUAUUCCGCAGGGCAUGCCUGUUCGAGCGUCAUUCAACCUCCUCAAGCCCUGCUUGGUGUUGGGCGUUUGUCCCGCCUCUCUGGCGCGGACUCGCCUCAAAAAUAUUGGCAGCCGUCACCCUGGCUUCGAGCGCAGCACAUUCGCGCCCGGCACCUAAGUGGCGGCUUCCAGAAGCCCACCCCCUCGGUUGACCUCGGAUCAGGUAGGGAUACCCGCUGAACUUA
rnacentral:misc_RNA from 1 species